GAAGAAUCUCCUUUUCAACGUAGGUUGUGAACACAGGUUUUCAGGGAACUUGCAUGACACUGGGAGGACUCACCUGGGCCUCGCUAGCGUUGGCCCUGGUUAAGUCGCACUGAGAAAUUCGCAGUUUCCGGUGACAGAUAAAGGAAAAAACCUCGGGAGGUGCGCGGUGAUUUUUGUCAGGUUUUCUCGGGUGUUUGGGGGGCGCGGUGACGUGUCU
rnacentral:sRNA from 1 species